GAUAUACCCAAAUGAAUAGUUUCUCUGGAAACAAAGCUCUGUCGAAUAAAACUACCCAGGUCUUGGAGAAGGACAGAAAGUGUUUUGCUCUCCCCGUCUUUGGCAGAGAUGGCUGAGGAUGCGGGAAGGGUGGGACCACGGCAGGAAGCCCUCUAGCCUGAGUCUUCUCCCUGGUCUUGAAGAGAAGAAUGGGGUGUCAGCGGUGGGCUCUCGUGGGGGCUGUUGACCACUCUGAUGCUAUGGGCUGGACUAGAAGAAUGACUCCACAUUCACCUCCCAGCUUGUGCUUUCAUUGCGUGCAGGAGAGGACAUAAGCUGGCAUUUACAUCCUCGGAUGAGUCAUCAGAUUACGAAAGAUCUUCCAAGCAGCUGCUCAUGUGAAGUCACAGUCACAAAGAAUUGGAUUAGAGUCGAUUGUAUGGUUUCAGGAUGAGAAAACAACUUGCUGGUUUAAUUCAAUUUCUCCCCCUUCCCCUCGUUUAUCAUUAAGUUUUAUCACAAGUCCCUCAAAAUGGGGGUAGGACCACAUUUAAUCUUUCAGCUGAGCAUUUCUUUACAAUUCCUUCAAGCCUUAACAAUUUCCCAUUAUGUCAUUCAUACCAAGAUAAAUGAAGGCGGAUAACAAGCCAACUGGGUCUGAGGCGUCCAGGAGGUGACAGGGGUGGGAAGAGAGAUGGAAACGAAUAAUGUUGAACGCAAAGACUAACCUAUGGGCCUUGUCUCAGAUUUAACAACCAGUCACUAUGAUUUACAAUCCAAGAUCUCAUUCUUUGCAUCUUAUAUCCCCGAGACAUGAAGAAUGGAAGGAAUGAAAGUGUCACCUAUUUCUUACACGGAUGACUUAUAGGUUUUUAAGGAGGUUCUCUUGGACAUCAGAGCAAGUUGCCCUUGACGGAUGACUUUGCUACUGUAUUUGAUUUCAAGUUCCCACCAAGGAGUGCCAAACAAAAUCUGUUACGUUUUAAAUCGUCAUGUAAUUUCUGCCCCCUUCCCUCUGCUCCACCACAUGUCCAACCAACAAAUAAAUCAUGCCAAAGUCUUAACCACAUGCUUUAAAAUGAAACAAGCACAAGGGACAUUUUUCAAGCUCACAUCUGGAACCAUUGUUUGGGAAGAAGUCUACCAGGUAGUGUUCUAUUUUUUUUUUUUUGACAAAUCAUGGUGUCCAAUCCACUUGGGAGAGCCUUCGAGGGUGAUUUGAAGCAUCUGUAGAGCUGCCUUUGCCUCUGAUACAGACAAAUGAGCUGUGCUGACACAAAGGCCUUUAAAACUGUCUAGUCACCCAUUGAGUCAAUUGAAUCAUCAAGUUGGAUGCUGCCUGCAUCAAAUGAUCUGGGCCCAGAUGAUGCAGCUGCAGAACUAGCCUCUCAAACCGAAGUGAUGGACGAUGAAAAGAGAAAAAGUAAAGGCAAAAUUCUGCAUGUCAGGCUUAGUUCUUUCCCUCUUGAAGUUUUGUAUUAGUGUCUGAAAGUCACAGAAGAUAGCUAAUUAAGAAGUUAGCUUUCCCUCUUUCUUACUUUCCUCCCUCCUUGCCCUUCCUCAGUUUUCUCUCUCCCUUUCCUUUCCUC
ensembl:lncRNA